GAAAGUAGGAAAGGGCGCAUGGCGGAUGCCUUGGCUCUCGGAGGCGAUGAAGGACGUGAUAAGCUGCGAUAAGUCACGGGGAGGUGCAAAUAACCUUUGAUCCGUGAAUCUCCGAAUGGGACAACCCGAUAUCCUGAAGGGAUAUCACCUUACAUAGUAAGGAGCUAACGCAGGGAACUGAAACAUCUUAGUACCUGCAGGAAAAGAAAAUAACAAUGAUUCCCCCAGUAGUGGCGAGCGAACGGGGAAGAGCCCAAACCACACAUGUUACGGCAUGUGUGGGGUUGUAGGACCACGGCGUUGCAAGAACUCUUGUGAGAAGAACAGCCUGGAAAGACUGACCACAGACGGUGACAGUCCGGUAUUCGAAGCAAGACGAAGCAUAGUGGUAUCCUGAGUAGCGCGGAACACGAGGAAUUCUGCGUGAAUCUGCCGGGACCAUCCGGUAAGGCUAAAUACUCCCGAGAGACCGAUAGUGGACCAGUACCGUGAGGGAAAGGUGAAAAGCACUUCGAACAGAAGAGUGAAAGAGUACCUGAAACCGUGCGCCUACAAGCGGUCGGAGCACGAAAGUGUGACGGCGUGCCUUUUGCAUAAUGAACCUACGAGUUACCGUAUCUGGCAAGGUUAAGGGUCACGAGACCUGCAGCCGAAGCGAAAGCGAGUCUGAAGAGGGCGUCGAGUCAGUUGCGGUAGACGCGAAACCAAGUGAUCUACCCUUGGCCAGGAUGAAGUCUGGGUAACACCAGAUGGAGGUCCGCACCAAUAAGCGUUGAAAAGCUUCUGGAUGAGCUGAGGGUAGGGGUGAAAGGCUAAUCAAACUUGGAGAUAGCUCGUACUCCCCGAAAUGCAUUUAGGUGCAGCCUCGCGGGUUACUGAUGUGAGGUAGAGCGACUGAUUGGAUGCGAGGGCUUCACCGCCUAUCAAGUCCUGACAAACUCCGAAUGCGCAUCAGUUUUACCGCGGGAGUGAGGGCAUGGGUGCUAAGGUCCGUGCCCGAGAGGAGAAGAAUCCGGACUAUCAGCUAAGGCCCCGAAAUGACAGCUAAGUUAAACUAACGAAGUCUGAUUGCUAAGACAGCUAGGAUGUUGGCUUGGAAGCAGCCAUUCAUUUAAAGAGUGCGUAACAGCUCACUAGUCGAGGAAUCGGGCGUGGAUAAUAAUCGGGUAUGAAGUUGUCUGCCGAAGCUAUAGAAUCAGCAAUGAUUGGUAGGGGAGCAUUCCAUUCUGCGUUGAAGGCGUGGCGUGAGCCAUUCUGGAGCGUAUGGAAAAGCAAAUGUAGGUAUAAGUAACGAUAAAGGGGGUGAGAAACCCCCUCGCCGAAAGACUAAGGUUUCCUGAUCAACGCUAAUCGGAUCAGGGUAAGUCGGGUCCUAAGGUUCAGCCGAACGGCGAGACCGAUGGCAGAAACGGUUAAUAUUCCGUUACUACCUUUGAGGGUGACGUGGGGACGCAGGAGUGACACCGCCGCCGGCUGACGGAAUAGCCGGUUAAAGAGUGUAGACGUUGAUUUCCGCAGGCAAAUCCACGGAAAGAGUCGAACUUGACAGUAUGGAACGUCCUUCGGGACAAUCCAAUAGUGCGGGUAAGCAGACUGCCUAGAAAAUCCGCUAAACAUAACUUCAGAGGUACCCGUACCGCAAACGGACACACGUAGUCGGGUUGAAUAUACUAAGGCGCUUGAGUGAAUCACGGUUAAGGAACUAGGCAAACUGACCCUGUAACUUCGGGAUAAAGGGUCCCUACCCAGAAAUGGGAGGGCGCAGAGAAUAGGUCCAGGCAACUGUUUAACAAAAACACAGGGCUGUGCCAAUAUGAAAGUAGACGUAUACAGCCUGACACCUGCCCGGUGCUGGAAGGUUAAGAGGAGAUGUCAUCGCAAGAGAAGCAUUGAAUUGAAGCCCCAGUAAACGGCGGCCGUAACUAUAACGGUCCUAAGGUAGCGAAAUUCCUUGUCGGGUAAGUUCCGACCUG
rnacentral:rRNA from 1 species